GGAUUGUCUUGUCCAGUCUCGAUUAUUUACAUUAUAAACAACCAACAAACAAAGCAACAAAACACUCACUUUCGCUCCAUUUGAGACACAACUGGCUCUGCCUACCAGUAAGUUACACCUGUAUCACACACUUCACCAUCAUGCUGUUACAGGUGUGACGUUGGACUGCCACUGUGAUGCUGAGGCUGGAGUAGUUGUCCAGUUUCUCCACUGUAACAAGUGUGGCGGUCAGCCCGACUGUCGGGACGUCCUGGGGUGUCGUGUACUUCUCUCAACAGAUUCCCAGUACCAGAGGGGGCAGAUGUGGCUCAACCUACAGAAGGUGAAGAUUAGCUAGCUCCCUGGACACGUGCAAUACUGACAUUUCACAUACUGCUACAUAAUCUGGGGUUUGAGACCUAGGGGAACCGUCAAGCUAGGAAAAGACUUCAAAGGUGGCUGCGACGGAGUUGCUGAUCGACUGAAUGUCAUACUUGAAACUCCACUUGGCUUGAUGGAUUCUGUGGUCAGUCCCAAAGAUCUUGAGAAAAAGGGGUCUCAACAAGAACUGUAUAUAUAGAUGCGAUGAAAAUAUUGUCAGAAAAUAUCUUGGGUGUAAUAUGUUUGACGACCUACAUUCUAGACUUAUGCAGUCUAGUCUAUGAUUCAGCACCAGAAGUGUGGGAAGUACAAGUGCACUAAAGUGAAGUGUCAAAUUAAUGAAAUAAUUAUAUCAAUUCAUGAACUAAUUAAAUUGUAUGUAAAAUUGUUUGUGCUGAUUUGUUACAUAUUUGUUGCUCUUGUUAAAAGUAUGUCAAUUAUAGUGAAACUAUAAGGUCCUUGUUAUCUAUGUGUUGUACAUGACACAUUCAAGGAUCAUUUUCUCAGUUGUCAGAUAUUGUCAGAUAUCAUCAUACGUAAACUUUUGGUCACACCAGUGACCACUGGAUGUACAGCAUGCUGUGAUAUUGUUGUUUUGUUGCCAAAUAUUGGGCGCCAUGGGAACCUGUCAGAUAUGUGCUGUCUCCUUUGGCAAGGGACUUCGUUUAAACAAUGUGCCUCUGCUCACCCAGCAAUAAAUGGGUACCCAGUAGUAUGAACUAAUGUAUAAUGCCAACUUUCUAGCAAUCAUCAUAGGUUGUGCCGUUUGAAUACACACUCAUCAGAUAAAGUUUUAUUUAUACAUGCUCUUGGAUCUGCACUUAUACAGUUGUCAGUCUAUGUAAGAAACAAACUUUAAUCUACUUCUUCUGUAGAGUUUACAUGUAGGGUGCCAUAUUUGAAACUUACUAGUCUGCUGUAAGAGGAGGAUACAAAUGCUGUAUAUGAUGAACACGAAUUAUUACCAUUUCAGGAAUCAAAACCUGAUCCGAAUAAAUCAGUAAGAUUAU